rnacentral:rRNA from 1 species
ACGGGGCUAAACCAUGCACCGAAGCUGCGGCAGCGAACGUAUCACUUAAAGCGAUUCAGCGGGUUACGAUUGACGGAGCGAAGCGACGUCAAAGCGUAUACAAAGUCGAGUCGGUUUAAGGAUACGUUCGUUGGGUAGGGGAGCGUUCUGUAAGCCUGUGAAGGUGUGUCGUGAGGCAUGCUGGAGGUAUCAGAAGUGCGAAUGCUGACAUAAGUAACGAUAAAGCGGGUGAAAAGCCCGCUCGCCGGAAGACCAAGGGUUCCUGUCCAACGUUAAUCGGGGCAGGGUGAGUCGACCCCUAAGGCGAGGCCGAAAGGCGUAGUCGAUGGGAAACGGGUUAAUAUUCCCGUACUUGGUGUUACUGCGAAGGGGGGACGGAGAAGGCUAUGUUGGCCGGGCGACGGUUGUCCCGGUUUAAGCGUGUAGGUGUGUGUUCCAGGUAAAUCCGGUUCACUUUAACACUGAGGCGUGACGACGAGGCACUACGGUGCUGAAGCAACAAAUGCCCUGCUUCCAGGAAAAGCCUCUAAGCAUCAGGUAACAUCAAAUCGUACCCCAAACCGACACAGGUGGUCAGGUAGAGAAUACCAAGGCGCUUGAGAGAACUCGGGUGAAGGAACUAGGCAAAAUGGUGCCGUAACUUCGGGAGAAGGCACGCUGACACGUAGGUGAAGUGAUUUACUCAUGGAGCUGAAGUCAGUCGAAGAUACCAGCUGGCUGCAACUGUUUAUUAAAAACACAGCACUGUGCAAACACGAAAGUGGACGUAUACGGUGUGACGCCUGCCCGGUGCCGGAAGGUUAAUUGAUGGGGUCAGCGCAAGCGAAGCUCCUGAUCGAAGCCCCGGUAAACGGCGGCCGUAACUAUAACGGUCCUAAGGUAGCGAAAUUCCUUGUCGGGUAAGUUCCGACCUGCACGAAUGGCGUAAUGAUGGCCAGGCUGUCUCCACCCGAGACUCAGUGAAAUUGAACUCGCUGUGAAGAUGCAGUGUACCCGCGGCAAGACGGAAAGACCCCGUGAACCUUUACUAUAGCUUGACACUGAACAUUGAGCCUUGAUGUGUAGGAUAGGUGGGAGGCUUUGAAGCGUGGACGCCAGUCUGCGUGGAGCCGACCUUGAAAUACCACCCUUUAAUGUUUGAUGUUCUAACGUGGACCCGUGAUCCGGGUUGCGGACAGUGUCUGGUGGGUAGUUUGACUGGGGCGGUCUCCUCCUAAAGAGUAACGGAGGAGCACGAAGGUUGGCUAAUCCUGGUCGGACAUCAGGAGGUUAGUGCAAUGGCAUAAGCCAGCUUGACUGCGAGCGUGACGGCGCGAGCAGGUGCGAAAGCAGGUCAUAGUGAUCCGGUGGUUCUGAAUGGAAGGGCCAUCGCUCAACGGAUAAAAGGUACUCCGGGGAUAACAGGCUGAUACCGCCCAAGAGUUCAUAUCGACGGCGGUGUUUGGCACCUCGAUGUCGGCUCAUCACAUCCUGGGGCUGAAGUAGGUCCCAAGGGUAUGGCUGUUCGCCAUUUAAAGUGGUACGCGAGCUGGGUUUAGAACGUCGUGAGACAGUUCGGUCCCUAUCUGCCGUGGGCGCUGGAGAACUGAGGGGGGCUGCUCCUAGUACGAGAGGACCGGAGUGGACGCAUCACUGGUGUUCGGGUUGUCAUGCCAAUGGCACUGCCCGGUAGCUAAAUGCGGAAGAGAUAAGUGCUGAAAGCAUCUAAGCACGAAACUUGCCCCGAG